rnacentral:rRNA from 1 species
UAGUCCACGCCGUAAACGAUGGAUACUAGCUGUCCGGGGCUUUAAGUUCUGGGCGGCCAAGCGAAAGUGAUAAGUAUCCCACCUGGGGAGUACGUUCGCAAGAAUGAAACUCAAAGGAAUUGACGGGGCCCGCACAAGCGGUGGAGCAUGUGGUUUAAUUCGAUGAUACGCGAGGAACCUUACCAGGGCCUUAAAUGCAUUAUGACAGGUCUAGAGAUAGACUUUCCUUCGGGCAUUUUGCAAGGUGCUGCAUGGUUGUCGUCAGCUCGUGCCGUGAGGUGUCAGAUUAAGUCCUAUAACGAGCGCAACCCCUGUCGUUAGUUGCCAGCGAGUCAUGUCGGGGACUCUAACGAGACUGCCGGUGCAAACCGUGAGGAAGGUGGGGAUGACGUCAAAUCAUCACGGCCCUUACGUCCUGGGGCCACACACGUGCUACAAUGGUCGGUACAGAGGGGUUGCGAAGCCGCGA